AAAAAAAAACAACCAACAAUUGGAAAUACGACCAUAAUGAUUGCUUACUUCUAUGCAAUGACCAGAUCUUAGUAAUUAACUGACACCACACUGGAAACAAAAUCAAUGAACAAAAACACCAAUAAUCAGCUCACCAAUUUCAAAAGAAGGACUUUUACUUACACCCUCAAUCCUGCAGCAUUGGCUUCAUAGCUCAGGCCAUAUUCAGCAAUGCUUUGCAAUGCUCAGUAAGGUGAUACUGUGGCUGGAACAUCUACCUAUCUGUUGCUGCUCCUCAUGAGCUUAUUAUGCGUUGUUAUAUCUUUUUAUUGAUCACAAUCAUCAUCCUUCCCGUGACUUUGCUCUAUGUACAGCACGUGGCGGUCUCACCAUACUAGGUGCUGUCCAAAUAUAUGAGAGAUAUUCCCAAAGAGUUGACCAUCUUAGGGUAUGCUGACACUGCAGCGUGAGGUGUUAUUACAGUCCGG